GGGCAACCUGCCUGUAAGACUGGGAUAACUUCGGGAAACCGAAGCUAAUACCGGAUAGGAUCUUCUCCUUCAUGGGAGAUGAUUGAAAGAUGGUUUCGGCUAUCACUUACAGAUGGGCCCGCGGUGCAUUAGCUAGUUGGUGAGGUAACGGCUCACCAAGGCAACGAUGCAUAGCCGACCUGAGAGGGUGAUCGGCCACACUGGGACUGAGACACGGCCCAGACUCCUACGGGAGGCAGCAGUAGGGAAUCUUCCGCAAUGGACGAAAGUCUGACGGAGCAACGCCGCGUGAGUGAUGAAGGCUUUCGGGUCGUAAAACUCUGUUGUUAGGGAAGAACAAGUACAAGAGUAACUGCUUGUACCUUGACGGUACCUAACCAGAAAGCCACGGCUAACUACGUGCCAGCAGCCGCGGUAAUACGUAGGUGGCAAGCGUUAUCCGGAAUUAU
rnacentral:rRNA from 1 species